ensembl:snRNA U6 U6 spliceosomal RNA
GUGCUUGCUUUGACAGCAUGUAUACUAAAAUUGGAAUGAUACAGAGAAUAGUAACAUGGCCCCUGCUCAAGGAUGACAUACAAGUUUGUGAAAAUUAAAUUUGA